rnacentral:rRNA from 1 species
UACGUAGGUGGCAAGCGUUGUCCGGAUUUACUGGGCGUAAAGAGCGCGCAGGCGGCUGGUCAAGUCCGAUGUGAAAUCUCCCGGCUUAACUGGGAAACUGCAUCGGAAACUGAUCGGCUUGAAGGUGGGAGAGGGUAGUGGAAUUCCCGGUGUAGUGGUGAAAUGCGUAGAUAUCGGGAGGAACACCGGUGGCGAAGGCGGGUCUCUGGGCCGAUACUGACGCUGAGGAGCGAAAGCGUGGGGAGCGAACAGG